rnacentral:rRNA from 1 species
CAGCACCUCAAGUGGUCAGGAUGAUUAUUGGGCCUAAAGCAUCCGUAGCCGGCGCUGUAAGUUUUCGGUUAAAUCCGUACGCUCAACGUACAGGCUGCCGGGAAUACUGCAGCGCUAGGGAGUGGGAGAGGUAGACGGUACUCGGUAGGAAGGGGUAAAAUCCUUUGAUCUAUUGAUGACCACCUGUGGCGAAGGCGGUCUACCAGAACACGUCCGACGGUGAGGGAUGAAAGCUGGGGGAGCAAACCGGAUUAGAUACCCGAGUAGUCC